AAAGUUUCCCCUAGUAAACGGAUACCGGUUUUGAAGAACUAGGGAAUCUCUUUGGUGUCAAAGGGUAUGCUACAUUCGUCAGUACAGGUGGCAAGGAGUCCGAGUCCACCUAGCCAUGCCCGUCUGCAUGAACAAUAUGCUACUUGAACGGGACGUUUUUCGGACAAGGAAAGUGGCGUGCAUUAAGUCUCACAUUUCUUGUAACAUCUGUUGUAAUAAUUUGUAUGAUACUCUA